CCUACGGGGGGCUGCAGUGGGGAAUUUUGGACAAUGGGCGCAAGCCUGAUCCAGCCAUUCCGCGUGAGUGAAGAAGGCCUUCGGGUUGUAAAGCUCUUUCGCAAGGGAAGAAAACUUAUCCUCUAACAUAGGAUGAGGUUGACGGUACCUUGAUAAGAAGCACCGGCUAACUACGUGCCAGCAGCCGCGGUAAUACGUAGGGUGCGAGCGGUAAUCGGAGUUCGCAGGCGUAAUUGUAAGUCAGACUGUUAAUCCCCGAGCUCAACUUGGGAACUGCGUUUGAAACUACAAGACUAGAAUAGGUCAGAGGGGGGUAGAAUUCCACGUGUAGCAGGGAAAUGCGUAGAGAUGUGGAGGAAUAUCAAUGGCGAAGGCAGCCCCCUGGGAUCAUAUUGACGCUCAUGCACGAAAGCGUGGGGAGCAAACAGGAUUAGAUACCCGGGUAGUC
rnacentral:rRNA from 1 species